rnacentral:rRNA from 1 species
UACGUAGGAUGCAAGCGUUGUCCGGAUUUACUGGGCGUAAAGCGCGCGCAGGCGGCACUCUAAGUACGUCGUGAAAUAUCCCGGCUCAACCGGGAGGGUGCGAAGUAGACUAGGGAGCUAGAGGUCGGUAGAGGGGGGUGGAAUUGCUGGUGUAGCGGUGAAAUGCGUAGAGAUCAGCAGGAACACCCGUGGCGAAGGCGGCCCCCUGGGCCGAUAAAAACUCCUGUCAAGGGAAACCUUGAUGGGUACCUGACGCUGAGGCGCGAAGGCUAGGGGAGCGAACGGG